UGGUAAAACAAAGGUAGCACGCUGGCACAGUUGUAAAGCGUUGGCCUCACAGUUCUGAGGACUAGGGUUCAAAUCCCGGCCCCGCCUGUGUAGAGUUGCAUGUUGACCCACUGACUGCGUGAGUUUUCUCCAGGCAUUCCAGUUUCCUCCCGCAUCCCAAAAACAUGCAACGUUAAGUGCCGACUCUAAAUUACCCCUAAGUGUGAUUGUGAGUGCGGUUGUUGUCUGUCUCUAUGUGCCCUGCUGGUUGACGGGUGGCUGGUUCGGGGUGUGCCAAGCCUCCUACCUGGUGGUGGCGGGGAUGGGUUCCAGUACUACCGUGACCAUUAUGAGGAUAAGCGGCUGACAAAAUGAAUGGAUGGAUGGAUGCUCGAACAAGCAGAAACUCUCAAUCGAAAGAUUGUGUUGUUUGCAUGACGUUCACAGAUUAUCCCAGUGGAACAGUAUCUGAUCAUGAAUGUAGAAGAGAAAAAAAAGGGAUUUUGUGUUUACACUAAUUUCUUUUGAGAAUUGGAGGGAAAAAAUGGUUUCUGAUAUCUUAGCACUGAGUAAUUUCACAUGCAUGAAAUUGAAAGAAUCUGGAAGCAUAUUAAGAAAUGUAUUUGCUUCAAUGUGUAAAACCAUUUUUGUGAUGAAUAAUUCAUUUAAGUCAUUGUCAUGUAGAGACAUCUGAUGGUGGUGCAGAGGUAACAGUCUUUUUGAUAAAUUGAGAAAAAAAGGGUAACAAGUUACUGUGGUAUUGAAAAAAAUUAAACUGGUUACUGUGCUUCAAUAACUUGAUUAUUGCCAUUUGUCUGUUCAUCCUAUGUCUGUUUGUGAAUUAACAUCUCCUCUACAGCAAAAAUGAAGAUGCUGAGGUUCUCGUUUGGAGUGAACAGGUUGGAUAGCAUUAGAAAUUAGCUCAUUAGAGGGACAGCCAAAGUUUGAUGUUUUGAAGACAAGGUUAGUGAGGCCAGACCUAGAUGGUUUGGACAUGUUCAGAGAUGAGAGAGUGAGUGUGUUAGUAGAAGGGUGCAGAGGAUGGAGCUCCCAGGCAGUAUGGGAACGAAAAGUGUUUUAACAUACAUUGACGCCACUGAUGUUCCAAGUGAGUAUAAAUUGGCUGAUCAAUUCGCAGCAAGAUUUGAGUCCUCAUGUUUGUGGCAUACAACCAUAAAAAACAUAGACAGAAUCAACUCCAUUCAUUACAAUGUACAAGAAUUGGGCAAUUGGAGAGAGGGUUUGUAACUGUGCGUGAACAGUUAUCUGCUCAUUUAUGGCAUUCCAAAUUGGAGUCGUUGUUGACAGUUUGGCUGAGAGAGGAGAAAUCUGUGCGAUGUUCGGAGAACAAUGCUGCGCCGUGAAGCCAACACACAGCUACGGACUCAUGCCACCGAGGGUCUUCGAACCCUGAAUGCCUCAUUCCAGUAUUGACACCUCCGUGUGUGAGAGACCUAGAUGAAUGCCUGUAGAAGAUGCACAGCCCUGUUGUCCCCAAAUUUGGUAUCAAUUGCUGUUUUGCAGCAAUCUUGACCUUGUGUGGAUGCUGUUGUAUUUUGUCAAUGUGUUCUCAUUUAAAGCUUAACACUGUUUUCCACAAAGCAACAGGUGGCAGAGAUGUAUCCUUUAACAAUGAAGAUUUUCUAUUAAUCUUGUCCAACUUGUUUCUAAAUCCAGAUUAUGAGUUUAAAAAAAAUUUGUCCCUGGGAAUGUGUAUUUGUUUUCAGUAAAAACUGUUUUUGUAACUGAAAAUCAUAAGAAGUUAAAGGAUGAAAAAAGAAUUUGACCAAAUACAUGUUAAACAGGGGGGAAAUGUGAAAGAAUUGAUUACUAUUUUAGUUAUUGUUCGAAUUGUUUAAUUAUGCAUUUGUUUCUUAGUCUUCCUCUGAAUUGUGCUCCCUGUGAGCUGCGUGCGAGACUUAAUGUGACAGCGACACCUGGGAGGCGAUGCCCCCCUGCUGACCUUAAGCAGAUACUCAACACGGGGAGGCAAUUUUCCCCUUCCACAACAUGCGGAUACUCCCAAACGCGAUAAACAUGCCUUUAAACAAUGCCCUGUUUUCUCUCAUGGGCUUAUUAGGACACUGUCCAAGCUUGAAGAAACAUGUACACAACAAAACAAUGUUUUUUUGUUUAUAAAUAGAAGUCAAUGAAUUUACCAAAUCCUAUUGUUUGCACUCACCAUUUGGAACUGUUUUGGUCAUUAAAUCUAUGGUACCCUUAUCAGGUAAUGCAGGAAUGAUUUGCAACAACGGUCUUCAAAUCAUGCACAUUACACAGUCCUUUAAUGUGGAUUUUGUUGCUUGCUCAACCAUAGGAAGCCAAUUAUUAUUUUGUCCUGAAAUACCUCUUGUUAGAUGAAACCCAUUGUCCAUCUCCAUCUUUUGCAUUAUUUUUAUUUCCAUCAAUUAUGAGACUGGUAAUAGAAUACAAGUAACUAUAUCUGUGGCAUUUGGUGAUAUCUUUACUUCGCAAAGAGUCAGCAAAAAUUAGGGGUUUCAUUGUGCAUAUGCCCAUAAAUAAGAAGCCUCAAAACAUUUUAAACAACGGUGGUUUUAGAGAUGCUUUCUCAGUAUUUAUUUCUAUUUGUAAAGAAGCCUUGGUUUUAUACAAUUUAAAUAUUUGUUCUUGGUGUUGGACAUACAGUGAAGAAAAUAAGUAUUUGAACACCCUGCUAUAUUGCAAGUUGUUCCUCUUAGAAAUCAUGGAGGGGUCUUAAAUUUUCAUCGUAGGUGCAUGUCCACUGUGAGAGAGAUAACCUAAAAAGAAAAAUCCAGAAAUCACAAUGUAUGAUUUUUUUAAAGCUUUAUUUGUACUGCAAAUAAGUAGUUGAACACCUGAGAAAACUAAUGUUAUUAUUUGGUCCAGUAGCCUUUGUUUGCAAUUACAGAGUUCAAACGUUUCCUGUAGUUGUUUAUCAGGUUUGCACACACUGCAGGAGGGAUUUUGACCCACUCCUCCACACAGAUUUUCUCUGGAUCAGACAGGUUUCCAGGAUUUGUUUGUGUGAUACAGCUGCAAAUAAGGAUUUGAGCACCUGUCUAUCAGCUACAAUUCUGACCCUCAAAGACUUGUUAGUCCGCCUUUAAAAGUCCACCUCCACUCCAUGUAUUAUCCUGGAUAAGAUGCACCUCUGUGAGGUCGUUUGCUGAAUAAAGACACCUGUCCACCCUAUACAAUCAGUAAGACUCAAACCUGUAACAUGGCCAAGACCAAAGAACUGUCGAAAGAUACCAGAGACAAACUUGUACAACUUCACGCAGCUGGAAAGAGCUACGGAUAAAUUGCCAACCAGCCUGGUGAAAAAAGGUCCACUGUUGGAGCAAUCGUUAGAAAGUAGAAGAAGCUAAACAUGACGGUCAAUAUCAAUCGGAGUGGAGCCCCAUGCAAGAUAUCACCUCGUGGGGUCUCAAUGAUCAUUAGAAAUUUGAGGGAUCAGCCCAGGACUACACGACAGGACUUAGUCAAUGACCUGAAAAGAGCUGGGACCAACGUUUCCAAGGUGACUGUUGGUAAUACACUAAGACGUAAUGGUUUGAAAUCACGCAUGGUACGGAAGGUUCCCCUGCUUAAACCAGCACAUGUCAAGGCCAGUUUCAAGUUUCCCAAUGACCAUUUGGAUGAUACAGCGGAGUCAUGGAAGAAAGCUUUGAGGUCAGAUGAGACCAAAAUGGAACUUUCACAUUGUUUAAGAAAAAUACAAUUUGGAUGAUACAGAAGAGUCAUGGGAGAAGGUUUUGUGGUCAGAUGAGUCCAAAAUGCAAUUUUUUGGUCAUAAUUUCAUCAACCGUGGAGGAAGACGAAUGAUGAGUUCCAUCCCAAGAAUACCAUCUCUACUGUUAAGCACACGGGUAGUAGCAUCAUGCUUUGAGGGUGUUUUUCUCCAUAUGGGACAGGACGACUGCACUGUAUUAAGGAGAAGAUGACCGCGGCCAUGUAUUGUGAGAUUUUGGGGAACAACCUCUUUCUCUCAGUGAAAGCAUUGAAGAUGGGUCGUGGCUGGGUCUUUCAACAUGACAAUGACCUGAACCACACAGCCAGGAAAACCAAGGAGUGGCUCCGUAAGAAACUGUUGGAGGACGCUUUUUUACUCCAGGUGUCCGUUUAAAGACCUCUUCAUUGUCCCUAAUUAAUUGCAUAUUCAGUCCAGCGGUUCGGUGUCGAACCUGACACAUAGCAAAAGAUAAUUAAAAGAAGAGAGAAAAUAUAAGAUAUUUUAUUCCAAUUAAUCCAACAGAGCAUACUAGUGGAACAAGACGAUCAAGCCCUCACCCUGUUGAUUUAAAAGGUACACAACUUCACACGAGGGCUCACAUUGAGUGAUUUGGCUCACUCGAACAUUGUGCAUAGCCAUUUGCCCACAGCAUCCACCAAUCCCAUUGUCUCUUUCACCCGCACACCAUGUGAACCCAUACGUGCCUGCGCGAGCCCCUUACGACGAUAAUCUUGGGUGUUGCACCUUUUUGGUCCAAUGCUCAGUCAUGUUUGAACAGCAACCACAGUUGUACUCAACAAACAAUGGUAAAAUUGCAACCUCAUGGCCUUUCUCCCAGGUACUGCGCUUUCAUGGGCCACGACAGUGGUAGAAAUCUGUCUGUGCUUCAUACUCCUCUUUUACUAUGCAAUGAAGAAAAUGUUUUGUCAGGUUUACGUAACCUAUGGCAGUCAGAGACAACUUAAGGACAUGAUCAGUGAUAUGGUGUCCGGUGAGAGCCAGGUUCACGCAUCCAGGACAUUUAAAGUACAAUUUCUCAAGGAAAGAAAGCACGAGGAUUUUUUGCUCGCGAGGAGAACAUGGCAUGUGUCUCUUUCACCAUCUCCAACCCGUUCUGCCCACAUCUCCACGAACCCUCCUUUAUAUUCCUCAGCACGGUUUACAACGUAACAAAGCAAACAUGACAAACAAAGCAACCGUGACAAAAAUAGCGAAAGUGAGUCUUUUUUAUGUCUUCACCAUUCUCUCAAGAUUGCCAGUCUUUAUGUUGUCUGUUGCAUCACUAUCUGGUAUUUCCACGGGACCCAAUGUGCCUCUUCAUUGCAUCACAUUGUUUAAGAAAAAUACAAUUUGGAUGAUACAGAAGAGUCAUGGGAGAAGGUUUUGUGGUCAGAUGAGUCCAAAAUGCAAUUUUUUGGUCAUAAUUCCAUAAACCGUGGAGGAAGACGAAUGAUGAGUUCCAUCCCAAGAAUACCAUCUCUACUGUUAAGCACAGGGGUAGUAGCAUCAUGCUUUGAGGGUGUUUUUCUCCAUAUGGGACAGAACGACUGCACUGUAUUAAGGAGAGGAUGACCGCGGCCAUGUAUUGUGAGAUUUUGGGGAACAACCUCUUUCUCUCAGUGAAAGCAUUGAAGAUGGGUCUUCAAUGUCUUUCAACAUGACAAUGACCUGAAGCACACAGCCAGGAAAACCAAGGAGUGGCUCCGUAAGAAACUGUUGGAGGAUGCUUUUUUUCCUCCGGGUGUCCGUUUAAUUUCGGGGAGUGAGAAUGUUGGUUAUCCAAAUAAAGGCUGGAGAUGAUGUACAGUUUCUUCGAAGAAUUUACUUACAGAAUAUUCUAGGCACUUAUGAGUUACAGACAAUGGCUGUAGAGAGCAGAUCACAAGUGCAAAGGUACAGAGAAAGCACACAUCCUUGUCAGAAGGACGGACCAUGGGUGGUUUCAAACCUGUGGCAUGACAUCGGGGCUUUCGACUUAGACAAAGGCUUUCUGUCUCAACCGGUUCUAGCUGGCAAUGGAUUAUUACAAAGUGACCAGUAUGCAGUUCAUCAAGGUUAGCCUGCGUGCAGAGAUGAUCUCAAGGACACAUCUGGCUACAGAGCAGAGCCCCACUGAGGACAUGAGGAGUCAAGACUAAAUAUGGGCAUAAGACAUACUAAAUCAAAACAGUCUGACACCUGAAAUGAACAAUAUUAAAGAAAGGUGCCAGCGGCAUCAUCGUCCAAAGAGGGUGGUGCAUCGGACAUGGGGCCUUUUCCUCUAGGAUGAGUCGAGUUAGGGCGCAGUCAGCUUCCUUGUCGAAUAAUGUCAUCAACGGGUACCAGCCAGGACUGGAGAAGACAUGGUUUUCCGGUUGUCAUCAGGUGGAUGGAUCGCUGAACCUGAGGCGGAUCUGGCAGGUCAUGGAGAAGAGAUGUAGAACCACAUGUUCUCCUUUCCUGCAGGAUGUACUGCUGUGGCCGUCUCUGACCUGAAAAGGAACCUGUACACCUCGGUUCAGACUAUUUACGUUGAAUUACUUUUAACCGCACAGACUCACAAGUAUUCAUUUUGAGGGGAGCGUCUGGUUGUGAAUGUAGUGAUUAACCAAAUGUUUUAACACUAUCCUUGCUGUUUCAGAUUUGCAGGGAUAUGGCUCUGGCCAUCCUGAAAAGGAAUCUACUAUGACUAGCAAAUACUGAUAGCCUGACACUGUUUUAAUCAUGUCAGUAAAAUCCAUUGAAAUCACCUGACCACACCUGAUCGUUGUAGGCAUACUGUUAGACCUACUGCAAACACUGCAGUCCUGUAGUUCACUUUUAAUAAUUUAUCUCAUGAAAGGACGCCACCAGGCGUGGAGUCGUCUCAGUGCUUCAUCCACACCUACAUGGCAUGUUCCAUGGGUUUCAGAAAUUAGAUUUUUCAAUUGUGUCUGAGAUGGAAUGCACUUACCCUCUUUUCGCCAUAUGCCAUCCUCAUCUUUGACACCCCCUUUCGACUUCCACACACUCUUUUCUGCUGGACUCACUUUUACCUGCCACAACUUAACUGUUUCUCCUGUCACCUCCUGUUGAUUGUCACAUUCAGACUCGCUUACAGUUAGUUGGAGUGUUGGUCGGUACCCCUCAACCUUUUUUGCUGCUCAAUCUACUGAUUCGUUUCCUGCUGAUGCAAAAUCAUUAGUUCGAGAGUGAUCUUUGCAUUUAAGGACUGCCACUGCUGUCGGGAGCAUUAAAGCAUCUCACAAUUCCAGAAUGUCGUCCUGAUGUUUAAUGCGUUGACCAGUUGCAGUUUGGAAAUCGUUUGCUCCAAAACAGAAGUGGAUAAAAAUGUGUUAGACUGAAUCCAAUUAGCAUCAAGUGACGAGAAUAGAGCAAUUCAGAGUGAAAUUAAUUUUGCCAAUCAGUGGCCUGUGUGCAUGCCAGGACAAUCGGACCGAGAUCCUUCGCUGUGUGCCGAGGCGAAACCAUCAAGGAGACAUGUGGGUGACAAGGAGGCAUAGAAGGAUACGGGGGAUCUGCCAUCAUGUUCCAUUUGAGUUAUUCAAGAGUCAGGAACAACAAAAUGGCGACACCUGGUUUGGCUGCAAACAAAUCACCCAUGUUUAAUUUCCAUGUUGUUUUCAAUCUCCUGAAAUGUCUCAAGAUACAUCUCAUCCCCUGGUCUGUCAUAGUACAGAGUGCAAUGCAUACAAUCAGUUACCAUAUCAUAAGAUCUGAGGUUGGGAACCCAAGGUGACUAGAGAGUCCAAAAGUGUUCAGCUUCGAGCCAACCACUGGAGUCAAUAUCCACUCUUGCCCAGUAGAUGUCUGCAGUGGUGCAUGCCAGAGGGCGUUGUUCAACAAGGGAGAACUGGGAGGAGGCACCGGAGGCAGAGGGACAGUAGGUGUUACCAUCCGGAAAUUCCAGGAUGAGUCCAUCAGGGCUGCAUUUGAUGAGAGGGCAUGUGGCGAUGAAGAGAUCUUUGCCCAAAAGAUUGUCUGGAGAGUUAGGUGCACAAAAGAAUCCAGAAGAGUCUGUGACUGUUGGUUUGACUCUUGGAGUUGGUUGUAACCUCGAUUGUAGUCGCGUGCUCCAUCCAGACGCUUGAGGUCGCUGUCUGCACUCGCGGGCCCAAUGACCAGGCUGUCCACUAUUGAAGCACACAUUACGGCCUCCAGGGGGCGCACCUCGGUCCAUGAAUGAACCUGCUUGAUACAUCAUGCACUCGGAACCGACAGAGGGAGAUGAGUUCAGAGCAAGUACGGCUUCUUCCUGCUUUUUCAGACUUCGCUCCAUAGCCUGUGCCACAGACUUUCUCUGAAAUGACACACUCAGGGAUUGGAAAUAAAGUAUCUAACACUGUAGACAAGGUCAAAUAAUUUUCUCGUGUAAGAGCCUGAUGAUUGGGGAGAGAAGAAAACCUGAAUUUUGCAUCAGAGUAUUCAACUGUGAAAGCGGACAUGAUUGUGUAAACAGAACAUGGAUGUCACCUGCUGUUAACAUUUGUCCCGUAACCGCUCUCUCUACUGGCACCACCAGAUUGAAUGGGUGGAAGUUUCUGGAACAACACACUUAGAUCAGUGGGAGAGAAAGGUUAGUAAAACAUAGCAGAGUUCCCAGUAGCUGGGUCAAAUUUGGCUAACAUGGCUGCCUGGAAGAUUUGGGAACGAGUCUCAGGCCGAUGGGGAGGAAGAGCUGGACCUUCGGAAGAUUCCUCUGGGUUUUCAGGGCUUCUGGUUCGAUCCAAAACAGAGUCAGGGUGGCUACCUGAAUGUUUCUGGACAUGAGACUUUAAUUCUUCUAAUUGAUUCUGAAACUGAGCAACAUACAACCUGUUUUCUGCUUCCCCAUUCGAAGAGCCUCUAGCUGCAUGUUCCGGAGCGUAGAAAGCAACUCCCUGUUUUUUUUUCAGUCGGGCUGCUUCUUGUUCAACGCAAAGGCCUGCUCCUCCGCUUCAGCGUUCGCUCUAUCUUCAUGUUCAGUAGGGGUUCUUAAAUUGAUUUCUGAUAUUUUGUGGAACCUCUUGGUGUCUGUUUAAUUCUGCCUUGUGCAGUCGAAGCUGAGAAUGAGUGAAUGUGUGAAUGGGUCAGCUCUCAAAUUGGUCACUUUUUCCAAUCUGCCUUCUAAUUCUCUAAUGGCGGCGGUCACUCCAGCAGCCAAAGUUUCGCAACUGUAUUCAUGUUCGAUGUCUGUUGUGCACGAGUGAGAGACGUUUAAUCGUCUACAUCUACUUCGAGCCGACACACAGUAACAUUCAAUACUGGAGCCUGAAAUUCAUCUAAAGCUUUCCUGGUUUCAUGGUAAGGUGACAGUACAAAUGGGUUAGUUGGAGACAACGCUCAAAUUCAUUUCUCCUCCAAGUAACUAGGCGGCGCGGAGGGCAAUAUGAGUGUUGACAGUACCAGACCAACACUUUCCUCCUUGACAGCUGAAUGGGACAACUUUAGCGCACAUUCCAUUGACAUCAUUCUUGCUUUCGCUUUCAUUUCCACAACUUUCUUACCAUUCUCUCUCACCUUUCUACCUUUUGGAGACAACCUGUUAGUUUUUUCCACUUCCAACUUUAGAGCUUCUGCUUUUUUAACACAAGCUUUUUCCGUUUCUUUCAUUAAUGUCACCAAACACGCAGUUGAAGACACGGAGGCAACUAUCCAUUCUCGCAACACUUCCUCAUCCAUUCUUUCAACUGUUCUUUCUCACUAUCUCGUUCUUUUUCAGGCAACCCUCUAACACACACAUAUCACACGCAUUUCUCACUUGUACACUUAGCAACAAUUGUUCAGAAUGGUUUAGUAUUUACCGCAAAUCGAACCAUUCACUUUCCCUAUCAAACUGUCCCUCCAUUUUGUUUUAAAUCGAAUCCCCCCCUCGCUAUCUCUCUCUCUUUUUUUGGAGUCAACAGGUCUUUCUAUUUGGAACAGAGAGGCAGAGAACUGACAAAGCAACAAUAACGCGUAGGGUGGGUCUCCUUGCACACUCACGCAGCUAACAAUUCAAAGAACUCAGCCUUAAAAAUCCAAAUGAAUCUAAAAAACGGGAAUGAGAACAGCAAACGUACAAGUAGUGUCGCCUCUGUUGAUCUCGCACUCACACAGACAGAUAGACCAAUGCACAAUUGCCUCACUACGCUGCAAUCGUGUGUGAGUGCGUGCAAGACACUCAUCCACAAGCCAGCAGAUGGCGAAGGACGCUGCCUAUUUUUUUAACUACCAUUGGGUAUUGAUAAAGAUAUGAUAUUACUAUGUUAGUUAUCAUGAUAAAAGUAUAUCAUUACUACUUUCGUUGCUGUUAAGAUUGUUUUAUCAUGCGUUUGUUUCUGGUAGUCUUAGUCUGAAUUGCUCUCUUUCUGAGCUGCGUGCCUGUCUUCAAGUGUGACCCAGUGACACCUGGGAGGCUAUGCCCUCCUGCCGACCUCAAUCUGAUGCCCCUGAACACUGGGAACCGAUAUCUCCAUCCUGGCCUCAGCAUGAUCCUUUCUGAUCUUAACCAGAUACUCCUCAACACCGGGAGGAGAUAACGCCCUUCUACCGCAGGAGGAUACCCCCAAAUGCCAUAAACAUGUCUUUAAACAAUGCCCUGCUUUUUCUCUUGUAGGUUUAUCAGGACACUCUUGCGGCCUUGAAGAAACAUGUACCCUAGUGUUCGUGUGCUGUUGGUGUAGCCAUCUGUGUCAGCAUUUUCACUGUGUAACCAUGUAACCCUUUGACCUGAGAAUGCAAUAAAAAAGAGCAGACAGGGACUACUACUUUGGCAGUCUGAGGUAGCGCACUCUCGCAGUGUGUCCUCCGUCUGUCCCGUGCACGAAAAGACAAUCUUGGUUGGUUUGAGUUCACUCUCUACAGUUCUCAGGCUUGUCUUAGCUGUUUUUCUAGGAACAUCUCUGACAUUCUAAAACUUGGUCCUUUGAGCCGGAUGACAACGUUUUCUUUUCAGUGGAUGAUAGACGACGACUGAAAUCGGUGCACCGUCCGAGUCUCCAGGACACCCGGAAAGUCCUCCUUUCCACAAGGCCAGCCCUCGGACAUCCUCCGCCGGAAGAACACAAAUGACAUCCUAUGAAUUGCAUGUGUCUCAACCAACGGAGAUUGUCAGAGGGUCGUGGGGGGUGAUGGAGCCUAUCCCAGCUGUCAACGGGCAGGAGGCCGGGUACACCUUGAACUGGUUGCCAGCCAAUCGCAAGGCACAUUGAGGCAAACAGCCGCACUCACAAUCACACCUAGGGGCAAUUUAGAGUGUCCAAUUAAUGUUGCAUGUUUUUGGGAUGUAGGAGGAAACCGGAGUGGCCGGAGAAAACCCACGCAGGCACAGGAAGAAUAUGAAACUCCACACAGGCGGGUCCGGGAUUGAACCUGGACCUCAGAACUGUGAGGCCAACGGUUUCCAUCUGAUUCACUGUGCUGCCUUUUUACCUUCACAAAUACAAGUUUUUUUUUUUUAUUUCAAUACUAUGCAUGAAAAGCACUUUCUUUGUCAAUAUAAUUAAUCUCAUGAAAAUCGAACAAGUAAUGACCAAGUUUCGAUUUCUUUCUGUGUUCAUGCUUUGACUUUGAUGGGAACAUUGCUCUUACUCAGGUGGUUGUCACGUCCAGCUCCUUGUGCUGACUUUAGGGUGCAUAAGGUCGUUUGCGAGAUUUAACAAGAUUUCGCACUUCCGGUGGCAAACAAAUCCGGAUGAAAGCAGCUACAAAAAAUAAAACAUUUUGAACUUGAAUGAAUGAAUGUUUGGGAUAAUCAGGGAUAAUUUUGAUAAAUAUCUUUUGUUGUAACUUGUUUUUAUUAGGAGCAAUCCAUGUUUGAGAAGAAACAGAAACCAAAACAUAUCCCUUUCGCUGCCCAUACAAAGUUAACUGUAAAAAGGAUUUUCUGUACCUUUACUAUGUAAAAAAUGAUCUCGUGUUUUCAAAUGCAAGGAUGGCUUUAUUUCUACGCUGAAGAAGUUAAACUACUCAAAAAAUAUUAAGAACCUCUUGCUCGAGUUUUAAAAGUGCAAACUAUUUCUAACACAGCGGACAGCAACGAAAAGGUAAAGAUAAUCAUAUACAAAGUUAUUUGAAUGAAUGUAUUAUUUGAAUGUGUGUGUAGGUUACUGCUAGCAGUGAUGUAUUUUUCUUACAGAUUUCCUUUCCAACAAGAGUGCAUUUACAGCACAAGAGGCUGCGGUUUGUUACAAGAUCGCAAGGGGACGUGUUUUCAUGUUGAACGUGCAAAUGAAUCAAUAAAAAAUUUGAGAUACUUGGCCAUAGCUACCAAAAUCUUCCAAUUAUGUUCCACUCAAAUAAACUUACAAGGACCACUGUUAAAAUACAGGUUGGAAGAAUGUAAACAAUAAAUCUACAUGUAGUUAAGUAUUAAAGGAUGUGAUUAUAAAGCAGAUUGAUCUUCCAUGAUGUAUAUUUAGGAUAAUUGGAUUUCAUUUUAGGUGAGAAAAUAAAUGAAAUGAUGAGAAAGCCAAAUUUUACAUUAUAAAUUAAAAGAUGUGAUUAGAAAGCAGAUUGAUCUUCUAUGAUGCAUAUUUAGGAUAACUGCAUUUCAUUUUAGGUGUGAAAAUAAAUGAAAUGAGAAAGCCAAAUUUUACAUUAUAAAUGUAAUGUGUACAGUAUACCGUUGUAUACUGAAAUUGAUAUGAAUGCUUGUGUGCUAUUAGUCCUUAUGUAUUUUAAACCAGACUCUUUAAAAUGUCUUAUGUAAUGAUUUAGAGCUAACACCAUGUUCAUCACAGAAAAUGAACCUGUGUUCCAAUGUACAAUCAGCAGUACAAUCAAAUGAAAACAGUUUUCUUUAAACAUACAUUAACUUGUUUAUUAAUCACGUUUUGUACAUAAUACAUUUAUAUUCUGAGCAAAGAGGCAUAAAAAGCAACACAACAUAUUGUAAAUACUUUUUUAACUUUGUGACCACCACUAACAACUGGGGCUGUAAAAAUAAUAUCUUCAUGGUCUUACAAAGUCGAUCCUGAUCUACGGCGGUGGAGGUUUACAUGACAAAACCAUAGUAUCCGAUCGGAUACAACUAUUGAAGAUGGUUAUUCUGUAAUUGAAGGUAAACAUUUUGAAUUAUAAAAUUCCACUAGGAUAUACAGGUUGGGGAGCCAAAAUCUAUCGACAGGUAUCCUGACGAUGGCAUAGUUUUCGGUGACCGUACCACAAGGUCACAGCAUCUUGUUCCUGGAAGGUACAUCUGACUCUGGAUUUGAUGAUAGCAUGGAUGACUUUUUUUUGAGGAUGAGGUUGUCAUUUUGUACUUC